rnacentral:rRNA from 1 species
UACGUAGGGUGCAAGCGUUGUCCGGAAUUAUUGGGCGUAAAGAGCUCGUAGGCGGUCUGUCGCGUCUGCUGUGAAAUCUCGGGGCUCAACCCCGAAACUGCACUUGAUACUGCCUUGCUCGAGUACUGGAGAGGAGAUUGGAAUUUACGGUGUAGCAGUGAAAUGCGUAGAUAUCGUAAGGAAGACCAGUGGCGAAGGCGAAUCUCUGGACAGUUACUGACACUGAGGCACGAAGGCCAGGGGAGCAAACGGG